AGAAAUAGCAAAAAGACAAAAAAAAAAAAAAAAAAAAAAUUGAAGUAUAGUUGAUUUACAGUGGUUGUGUUAGUUUUUGGUGUAGGGCAGAGUGAUUCAGAUAUAUGUAUUUUUUCUUUUUAUAUUCUUUUCCAUUGUGGUUUAUUAUAGGAUAUUGAAUCUCGUUCCCUGUGCUAUACAGUAGGACUUUGUUGUUUAUCUUUUUUAUAUAUAGUAGUUUGUAACUGCUAAUCUCAAACUUCUAGUUUACCUCCCCUAUCCCUUUUCCCCUUUGGUAACCAUGAAUCUGUGAGUUUUCUGUCUGUAAGUCUGUUUCUGUUUUGUAAAUAAAUUCAUUUGUAUAAUUUUAAGUCAUAGCAUAUAGUAUUGGUCUUUCUGGCUUACUUCACAUAUGAUAAUCUCUAGGUUAUUCAUAUUGUUGCAGUGGCAUUAUUUCAUUCUUUUUUAUGGCUGAGAAGUUGCAGCGAUUUUAUAGACCAUAACUACCACUAAUAAUGAAACACAACUGUAUAUGAUUCAUUUGACAUUUAAUAAGUUUAAAAAAAUUUUUUUUUUGUUCCACCCAUGGCAUAUGGAAGUUCCUGGGCCAGGGAUCAGAUUAAAGCCACAGCUGUGACCUGCGCAACACUGGAUCCUUAAUGCACUGUACCACAGGGGAACUCCUCAUUUGACAUUUUAAAGAAUCUUUUUUUUUUUCCCCACACCCAAGGAAUGUGGAAGUUCCCAGGUCAGGGCUCAAACACAUGUCACCGCAGCGAUCUGAGCCACUGCAGUGAUAAUGCUGGAUCCUUAACCUACUAUACCACAAGAGAACUCCUUAAGGAAUCAUUCUGAUUGCUGUGUGGAGUGUGCUUAAAUCAAGAGAAGCAAUUAGGAAGCUGGGAGACCAGCAUAUAUGUAAUUUUGAAAGUUUCUGUUGGAGUUCCUGUUGUGGUGUAGUGGAAAUGAUUCUGACUAGUAUCCAUGAGGAUGUGGGUUUGCUCAGUGGGUUAAAAAUCCGGCUUUGCCAUAAGCUGUGGUAUAGGUUACAGAUGCAGCUCAGAUCCCAUGUUGCUGUGGCUGUGGUGUAGGCUGGCAGCCACAGCUCCGAUUUGACCCCUAGCCUGGGCACUUCCAUAUGCUGCAGGUGUGGACCUAAAAAAACAAAAAAACGAAACAAAACAAAAAAGCAAAAAAAAUUUUCUACUAAGCACAUUAAAAAGCCACAGACAGCUGUAACACUGUAUUGGACAGUGAAGAUAUGGAACAUUUAUUCAUUUACUCAUUCAACCAAGCAAUAUCUUGUUCUAGGCCUGGAAAUAUACAGAAUGGUAUAAAGCCCAAUCUCUGUUCUCUAAGUGCACACAGUCCAGCAAAGGAGAUUAAUAUAACAGCUUGUGUUGAAGACUGCACAACAAAGUGCUUUGAAAGGCCAGGAAGGAAGCACCCAGACCAUGGGGUGGGGGCAUGGAAGAGGAGCUAGACAUUGGCUUGGGACUUGAAGGUUGUGUAGGAGGUCCCCAGGUGGCAGAAGUAGGGAAAGGCAUUCCAAGCAGUGAGAACUGCUUAUGCAAAGUCCCAGAGAAAGAAUGCAGCGUGUCUCAGGGAAGUGCACGCAGUGGUUUAUGGCUGGAGUGUGGGGUAUGAAAUGGGAGGGGGGUGGGCCAGGAAAGACGAGGGUCUCACAGACCAGUCUAUGGAAUGUAGAACUUAUCCUGUUCAGGAGUUGCGGGAAACAGAGAGAAAGCUGAGCGAGGUGACCAGAUCUGCGCUUUAGCUAGAUCAUCCUGGCAGUGUGGGAGGGGUAGAAAUUGGAGGCAGAAAGACCCGUUAGGAAGGGAAGGGGCCCUAGGGUGGAUCCAGAGGAAAGAGCCACAGAGACCGAGAAGGGGCAAAGAGGAGGGAGGGCAAAGGGUGGUGCCAAGUGUCCCGUGGAGUAGGACAGGACAUGCAGACCUUAGCAUGCCAGAGGCUGGUGCAGGUUUGCUGACCCUCCAGAGUCCACCAAAUGGCAGAGGGUUUGAGCACCAGCGAGAGCCUAAUAUUUGGUAAAGUGGAACCGGGUGUGGGUUUUGGGGCUGAACCACUACGUGGCCUUGUUCAAAAGACUUAAUAUUUCUAACUGCAAAAAUGGGAUUAAAUGUAAGACCAGCUUUAUGGAGAUGGACAGGCUUACUGUAGCUGGGCCACUCUGUGUGGUGCUUGGCACAUCCUGGCCCUCAGUACACAUGGUAGCAGUCAUGUUUGCUAUGCUUUGAGUGCCCUGGGCCUCAGUCCUCACAAAAAUGUGAUUGCCACCUCCCACUUGCUGCUACUCAAGGAACAGAUGAGAUGAUUGAAUUCCAUUUGCACUUCUGACUAAAGGCAAAUGUGAUCAAAAGAUUAAACACAGCAAUUCGAGGCUUAGGAAUAUGCCCAAGAGAAAUGAAAGCAUAUGUCCACACAAAAACUUGUGCACAGAAGUUCCUGCUGUAGCUCAGUGAUAAACAAACCUGGCUAGUACCCAUAAGGACUCAGAUCCCUGGCCUUGCUCAGUGGGUUAAGACAGUUGCUGUGAGCUGUGGCGUAGGUCGUAGGUGCGGCUCAGAUCCCACAUUGCUGUGGCUGUGGUGUAGGCCAGCAGCUACAGCUCCGAUUGAACCCCUAGUCUGGGAACCUCCAUAUGGUGCAGGUGCGGCCCUAAAAAGACAAAAAAACUCCAAAAAACCUUGUACACAAAUAUCCAUGACAUUUGUUCAUAUUCAUGGCUUGAAAGUUCAUAUUCACUGUAGCCAAAAAAGUGGAAGCAAUCUAUUAACUAAUAAAUAGAUCAACAGAAUGUGGUCUGUCCACGCAAUAGAAUGUUAUUCAGUCAUAAAAAGGAAUGAAAUUCUGACAGAGAUUGCAGCAUGGAUGAGCCUGGAAGACAUCCUCGAAAGACAUCAGCCAUGCAAGACCGUGUAUUGUAUGUUUCCAUUUAUGUGAGAUAAGUGUUCAGAAUAGGCAGAUCUGUAGAGGUGGAAAGAUUAGUGAUUGCCUCCGGCUGGGAGAGCUCAGGAAGGUGGAGGUGACUGCUAGUGGGUAUGAGUUUUAUUUUGGAGAGAGAGGCAUGUUCUCAAGUUGUUUGUCAUGAUGAUUGCACAACUCUGUGUGUACCAAAUGCUGUUGAAUUGUACAUUUAAAUGGCUGGAUGUGGAAUUCCCAUCGUGGCUCAGUGGUUAACGAAUCCGACUGGGAACCAUGAGGUUGUUGGUUUGAUCCCUGGCCUUGCUCAGUGGGUUAAGGAUCUGGCGUUGCCAUGAGCUGUGGUGUAGGUUGCAGACACGGCUCGGAUCCCGCAUUGCUAUGGCUCUGGCAUAGGCCAGCGGCUAUGGCUCCGAUUCGACCCCCUAGUCCGGGAACCUCCAU
rnacentral:lncRNA from 1 species